UGUUUGUGUUCGAUUAUGAGAAAUUAUGAUCGAUUGCUUGGUCGUUUAGUCACUACGACCAAUCUUCGAUUAUUUCGAUUAAUCGGACCACCACUAAUAUACAGUACAACACCGUUGUCAAGAAUGUCUGUUGGUUUACCUACACCAU